UCCUACGGGGCGCAGCAGUGAGGAAUAUUGGUCAAUGGCCGAGAGGCUGAACCAGCCAAGUCGCGUGAAGGAAGACUGCCCUAUGGGUUGUAAACCUCUUUUAUCCGGGAGCAAAACGAGUCACGUGUGGCUCCCUGCGUGUACCCGAUGAAAAAGCAUCGGCUAACUCCGUGCCAGCAGCCGCGGUAAUACGGAGGAUGCGAGCGUUAUCCGGAUUUAUUGGGUUUAAAGGGUGCGCAGGCGG
rnacentral:rRNA from 1 species